rnacentral:rRNA from 1 species
UCGAAACCUGCACAGCAGAACGACCCGCGAACUCGUUUACCAACACCCGAGGGGCAGGGCCUGCCCUGUCUCCCUCGGAGCUGGAACGCGCCUCUCGGCGCGCGACGGCAAGUACCCAAACACCGGCGCGGGUUGCGCCAAGGACURUGAAAUUCUACCGCGUCCUGCGGCCUCGGGAGACCGGGCGCCGCGGCGAUGGCGKGUGAAAUAAUAAAAAAUGAAACGACUCUCGGCAACGGAUAUCUCGGCUCUCGCAUCGAUGAAGAACGUAGCGAAAUGCGAUACUUGGUGUGAAUUGCAGAAUCCCGUGAACCAUCGAGUCUUUGAACGCAAGUUGCGCCCGAAGCCAUCCGGCUGAGGGCACGUCUGCCUGGGCGUCACGCAUCGCGUCGCCCCCUCCCCCUCCAUUCCGGAGCGGUGGGAGGGGCGGAGUAUGGCCUCCCGUGCGCCCCCACGCGCGGYCGGCCUAAACAMGGAGCCCGUGGCCGCGAGCGCCGCGACGUUUGGUGGUUGAAUCUCGAGCAUCGCGUCGCGCGCCGUAGCGUUCUCGGACAGCUCGAAGGACCCUUAGGCACAGCAGCCUACCCUUGCGACCCC